CCUACGGGUGGCUGCAGUGGGGAAUUUUCCGCAAUGGGCGAAAGCCUGACGGAGCAAGACCGCGUGAGGGAGGAAGGCUCUUGGGUUGUAAACCUCUUUUCUCAGGGAAGAACAAAAUGACGGUACCUGAGGAAUCAGCCUCGGCUAACUCCGUGCCAGCAGCCGCGGUAAUACGGAGGAGGCAAGCGUUAUCCGGAAUUAUUGGGCGUAAAGCGUCCGCAGGUGGCACUUCAAGUCUGUCGUCAAAGACUGGGGCUUAACCCUGGAAAGGCGGU
rnacentral:rRNA from 1 species